rfam:Ictidomys tridecemlineatus contig069759, whole genome shotgun sequence.
GGUGGUGUGGCUUAGUGGUAGAGCACUUGCCUGGCAUGUGUGAGGCACUGGGUUCGAUCCUCAGCACCACAG